rnacentral:rRNA from 1 species
CCUACGGGUGGCAGCAGUGAGGAAUAUUGGUCAAUGGGCGGAAGCCUGAACCAGCCAAGUAGCGUGCGGGAUGAAUGCCCUACGGGUCGUAAACCGCUUUUGCACGGGGAUAACACCCCUCACGUGUGGAGUUCUGCAUGUACCGUGCGAAUAAGGGCCGGCUAACUCCGUGCCAGCAGCCGCGGUAAUACGGAAGGCCCGAGCGUUAUCCGGAUUCAUUGGGCUUAAAGGGAGCGUAGGCGGGCGGUCAAGUUAGUUGUUAAAUCGCGGGGCUAAACCGCGGCCCGCAAUUGAAACUGGAGGGCUUGAGUACAGAAGAGGUAGGCGGAAUUAGUGGUGUAGCGGUGAAAUGCAUAGAUAUGACGUAGAACCCCGAUAGCGAAGGCAGCCUGCCGGGGUGCGACUGACGCUGAAGCACGAGGGUGUGGGUAUCGAACAGGAUUAGAUACCCGUGUAGUC